AUACCUACCUGGCGUCGCGAUACCGUGAUCAUGCAGGCUGUCCCCCGGGGUGCGGCUGCUCCAUUGCACUGCGGAGUGGUUGACCCUUGCGAUUAUUUUUAUAUUUUAUAAGUUUCACUUCUACCGUGUGUGACUUGCACACA
rnacentral:snRNA from 9 species